ensembl:lncRNA
GACCUUUUAUUAAGCUUAAUAAAUAAAGAAAACUUUUCUCAAAACAUCAUUUUAGUGUUUAUUCAGAAUAGACAGUAACACCAGCAGAAUCACGGUCGUCUGUCUCUGUGAAGAUUCAUGUUUCAACAUUUUGAGCAUCACGCGUCUUCUUUCACUGUUGCUUCCGCUCUAUUGUUGUGAUGAACCUAUAAAGUGUGAAGAGAAAAUAAAAAGAUUUCAAUGAAUUGCCACAUAUUCUCUCUUCUCUUGUCAGUGCUGUUCCAGAUUAAAUGCUGUUGUCGGACAUUAUAAAAGCUGUGCUGAUGGUGUUUUACCUCUGUGGCAUUUCCAGCAUGAGUAGAAUUAUUUGGAUGCAAGGUCUCGUUCUGAAAUGUGUUGGAUUACAUUAGUUACAGAUCUUUAAACUCAAUUAAUGAAAUAUGACUUGCUCAAAUAAUUUUAUACAUCAUUGACGUGUAUGAACAGAUUUAAAGAUAAGGCAGUGCUAAUUAAAAUUGUUCUCCAUUUUUUAAAGUCAUGUUCCUGUACAGCUCUGUUGCUCCAGGCAGUCGGGUUGAGCAGUUGCACAGAUCUUUUUUUUUAAAAAAAACCUAUCAGCUCAUCUGUGGCUGGGACUGUCAGCUUUAUUGUUCUUAUGUUUUUCUCUGAGUGACACUACACUGAUAGUAAAAACUAUUCAAAUGGGGUUUUUGACUGACCAAAACCAAUCUUUUGCAACAAAACUUUACAGAGUCUAGAAACUGUAGCUCGACUCGUGCUGGCUGUAGCUCAGGAGAUAGAGCAGGUCAUCGGCUAAUUGAGAGUGGAUUGAGAGUCUAUCUUAGCUGUCAUUAAGCAAAGGGCAGAGUACACUCUCAAGACAUCACCAGCCUGUCACAGACAACCAUUCAUGCUAACAUUCACACCUACGGCCAAAUCCAUCCAUCCAUCCUCAUCCGCUUUAUCCGAGAUCGGGUCGCGGGGGCAGCAGCCUAAGCAGAGAAGCCCAGACCUCCCUCUCCCCAGCCACCUCCUCCAGCUCAUCCGGGGGAACACCAAGGCGUUCCCAGACCAGCCGAGAGAUAUAAUCUCUCCAGCGCGUCCUGGGUCUGCCCUGGGCCUCCUCCCGGUGGGACAUGCCCGAACACCUCACCCAGGAGGCGCCCAGGGGGCAUCCUUGUCAGAUGCCCGAACCACCUCAACUGGCUCCUUUCGAUGUGGAGGAGCAGCGGCUCUACUCUGAGCCCCUCCCAGAUGGCCGAACUUCUCACCCUAUCUCUAAGGGAGAGGCCAGCCACCCUUCGGAGGAAGCUCAUUUCUGCCGCUUGUAUCCGCGAUCUCGUUCUUUCGGUCACUACCCACAGCUCGUGGCCAUAGGUGAGGGUCGGGACGUAGAUCGACCGGUAAAUUGAGAGCUUCGCUUUUACACUCAGCUCCCUCUUCACCACGACGGACCGGUGCAGCGUCCGCAUCACUGCAGCCGCAGCACCAAUCCGUCUGUCGAUCUCCGGCUCCCUUCUCCCAUCACUCGCGAACAAGACCCCGAGAUACUUAAACUCCUCCUCUUCAGAAGACCCGUAUGAAAAGAACAUCGAGGGAACAGUUUACCCUGCCCGGGAUAGGGUUACCGGGGCCCCGCCCUGGAGCCAGGCCCGGGGAGGGUGCCCGAGGGCGAGCGUCUGGUGGCCGGGCCUUAGUCCAUGGGGCCCGGCCGGGCACAGCCCGAAGAGGAGACAUGGGCCCAUCCUCCCGCAGGCCCACCACCCGCAGGAGGCGCCAUAGGGGUUGGGUGCAUUGUGUGUCGGGCGGCGGCCAGGAGCGGAGGCCCUGGCGGACCGAUCCCCGGCUGCCAAGACUGGCAAUAGGGACAUGGACAUAGCUGGACUGGCCAUCGGGCAUACCGGGCAUUUGCCCGGUGGGCCGCUGGCGAUUUUUUGUUUUUAUGGGCCGAUGGAUUUUUUUUUUUUUUUUUUUAGGAAGGGUAUAUAUAAUGAAAGGUGUUGGAUUGGCCAAUUGGUCAUGAUCGACUCUGGGCUGGACCAAUUACAGCCGAGGAGGCCGGAUGCACCCUCCCCCUUGUUUAGCAAUCUUAUAGACGAACUAAAGAAAAUGGAGAACAAAAAAAGGAAAGGAGGUGUUUAUGAAAAUAUCACUAAAUCUGUCAUUUAUUAAUUUUAAUUUUAAUUAAUGAUCAUGUCUCACCUCUAGUGUUCUUGGUCUUAAUUUAAGGUUUUUCCUAUAGCGAUUGACAGAUCACGUGAUUUUCGCGCAUUGCAUGCCGGGAACUCGAGGCAAAACAAUCAAAGUACCGCAUCAAAUGCAAGCAUUUGCAGCACCGCAAAACGUUCAUUCUGUCGUUCCAGUACCUUCCUGGUUUUUCUUUGCCCCCCAAAAAAGGAAUGUACAAAACUAAGGAGAACAAUGCCGGACCGUACAAAGACAGACUCGACGAAAAGGCAAAGAAAAGAUACGAGGAAAAAAUCAAAGGAGUGAAAGGGUCAGACCAUUACAAGCACACAGAGUGGACAAAAGAUGUUUGCGUGCUGCCCAACUUUCACCACGCUCAGAUUUACAAUUAUAUGUUUUAUCCUGUGAAUAAAAGUAUAUGUUUUUGUCAAUGUACCGUGGUAAUAACAGAAGCGAAACGCAAUAUUGUGUCAGGACAAUUCACUAUUUAUGCACAAUAAAUAAAGGAGCAUAGCCCGACAAUUUCUGUUCAGCGCCAGACUUGCUUGUAACCUAUAUCACCAAUUAUGUUAAGAAAAAUGACGUAUUAACUACUACAAAACACUGACCUUUGUGGGAAUGCUUGGGGCAGACUAACAUGUGAGCUGGUGUUCUGAGACGUUAUAUUUGGUAUAUCCAGGCCAUCCGUCGGCUCUUACUUCGGAAACAUGGCUUAAAAGAUUUCUCUUCAAGGACGUAAUCCGAUAAAAAAAACGAUCUCUUUACCCGUCGGCUUCCCGUGGCUGUCAUGCGACCGGCUAUUGCAGUUAAUAAUACAACAGCUUCUUGCCAUUUUUUGUGUUUCUUUUUAUCGCUGUGUAACUGAGUUCAAUUGAAAGCCUGCGUGCGCUAGUACCUCUUGCCUCAAGUUCCCAGAAUCCUUUGCGGUUUUACCCCUGAAUGACGUCACAUUUUCAAUCUCUAUCCUGGUGGGCCGGUCUCUAGUCAAAAUGCCCGGGCUGAUUUUUUGUCCCAGUCCAGCCCUGGACAUGGAAUGUCACCUACGGCCAAAUUAAAAUAUAAAAUUAUAAGACAUAAAUAGUGGUCAUGUUUCUGGUGCUGUACCUCUGCAGUACUUACGCUUGUUGGUUCAGUUGGAAAAGAAAGAGGAUUUUCGAGAGGGUGCCAAAUCACGGUCGUCUGUCUCUGUGACGAUUCAUGUUUCAACAUUUUGAGCAUCACGCGUCUUCUUUCACUGUUGCUUCCGCUCUAUUGUUGUGAUGAACCUAUAAAGUGUGAAGAGAAAAUAAAAAGAUUUCAAUGAAUUGCCACAUAUUCUCUGUUCUCUUGUCAGUGCUGUUCCAGAUUAAAUGCUGUUGUCGGACAUUAUAAAAGCUGUGCUGAUGGUGUUUUACCUCUGUGGCAUUUCCAGCAUGAGUAGAAUUAUUUGGAUGCAAGGUCUCGUUCUGAAAUGUGUUGGAUUACAUUAGUUACAGAUCUUUAAACUCAAUUAAUGAAAUAUGACUUGCUCAAAUAAUUUUAUACAUCAUUGACGUGUAUGAACAGAUUUAAAGAUAAGGCAGUGCUAAUUAAAAUUGUUCUCCAUUUUUUAAAGUCAUGUUCCUGUACAGCUCUGUUGCUCCAGGCAGUCGGGUUGAGCAGUUGCACAGAUCUUUUUUUUUUAAAAAAAAAACCUAUCAGCUCAUCUGUGGCUGGGACUGUCAGCUUUAUUGUUCUUAUGUUUUUCUCUGAGUGACACUACACUGAUAGUAAAAACUAUUCAAAUGGGGUUUUUUGACUGACCAAAAACCAAUCUUUUUGCAACAAAAACUUUACAGAGUCUAGAAACUGUAGCUCGACUCGUGCUGGCUGUAGCUCAGGAGAUAGAGCAGGUCAUCGGCUAAUUGAGAGUGGAUUGAGAGUCUAUCUUAGCUGUCAUUAAGCAAAGGGCAGAGUACACUCUCAAGACAUCAUCAGCCUGUCACAGACAACCAUUCAUGCUAACAUUCACACCUACGGCCAAAUCCAUCCAUCCAUCCUCAUCCGCUUUAUCCGAGAUCGGGUCGCGGGGCAGCAGCCUAAGCAGAGAAGCCCAGACCUCCCUCUCCCCAGCCACCUCCUCCAGCUCAUCCGGGG